ACCCUCCAGCCUCUUUCUGAUUCAUAUGGAUAGUUCAUCAUGAACUACCAUAUGAAUUAGAUCGAUGCUACUUUGCCUGAGUUAUUGAAUAUGCUGGUGAUUACAGAGGGCAUCUUGAAGAGUUCAAGGGGUAUAGUUCUAGCUGUGGAGUAGGUUUCCUCCAAAAAAAAGUCUCCUUUUAAGAAGAAAAAAAGCCCGCGAAGAAGUAGAAG
rnacentral:lncRNA from 1 species